rnacentral:rRNA from 1 species
ACUCCGAAAGCAAGGAAACUUACAACAAAGAGUCCCUCCCGACUGUUUACCAAAAACACAGCACUCUGCUAACUCGUAAGAGGAUGUAUAGGGUGUGACGCCUGCCCGGUGCUCGAAGGUUAAUUGAUGGGGUUAGCAUUAGCGAAGCUCUUGAUCGAAGCCCGAGUAAACGGCGGCCGUAACUAUAACGGUCCUAAGGUAGCGAAAUUCCUUGUCGGUUAAAUACCGACCUGCAUGAAUGGCGUAACGAGAUGGGAGCUGUCUCAAAGAGGGAUCCAGUGAAAUUGUAGUGGAGGUGAAAAUUCCUCCUACCCGCGGCAAGACGGAAAGACCCCGUGGACCUUUACUACAGCUUGACACUGCUACUUGGAUAAGAAUGUGCAGGAUAGGUGGGAGGCUUUGAGUAUAUGACGCCAGUUGUAUAUGAGCCAUUGUUGAGAUACCACUCUUUCUUAUUUGGGUAGCUAACCAGCUUGAGUUAUCCUCAAGUGGGACAAUGUCUGGUGGGUAGUUUGACUGGGGCGGUCGCCUCCCAAAUAAUAACGGAGGCUUACAAAGGUUGGCUCAGAACGGUUGGAAAUCGUUCGUAGAGUAUAAAGGUAUAAGCCAGCUUAACUGCAAGACAUACAAGUCAAGCAGAGACGAAAGUCGGUCUUAGUGAUCCGGUGGUUCUGUGUGGAAGGGCCAUCGCUCAAAGGAUAAAAGGUACCCCGGGGAUAACAGGCUGAUCUCCCCCAAGAGCUCACAUCGACGGGGAGGUUUGGCACCUCGAUGUCGGCUCAUCGCAUCCUGGGGCUGGAGCAGGUCCCAAGGGUAUGGCUGUUCGCCAUUUAAAGCGGUACGCGAGCUGGGUUCAGAACGUCGUGAGACAGUUCGGUCCCUAUCUGCCGUGGGCGUAAGAAGAUUGAAGAGAUUUGACCCUAGUACGAGAGGACCGGGUUGAACAAACCACUGGUGUAGCUGUUGUUCUGCCAAGAGCAUCGCAGCGUAGCUAAGUUUGGAAAGGAUAAACGCUGAAAGCAUCUAAGCGUGAAGCCAACUCUAAGAUGAAUCUUCUCUAAGCUCUCUAGAAGACUACUAGUUUGAUAGGCUGGGUGUGUAAUGGAUGAAAGUCCUUUAGCUGACCAGUACUAAUAGAGCGUUUGGCUUAUCUUUAAUAAAGCAU